UGGGGAAUAUUGGACAAUGGGCGCAAGCCUGAUCCAGCCAUGCCGCGUGUGUGAAGAAGGCCUUCGGGUUGUAAAGCACUUUAAGCGAGGAGGAAGGUUCGUUGGCUAAUAUCCAGCGGAAUUGACGUUACUCGCAGAAUAAGCACCGGCUAACUCUGUGCCAGCAGCCGCGGUAAUACAGAGGGUGCAAGCGUUAAUCGGAAUUACUGGGCGUAAAGCGCGCGUAGGCGGUUGUGUAAGUUGGAGGUGA
rnacentral:rRNA from 1 species